GAUGAAGAACGAAGCGAAAUGCGAUAAGUAAUGUGAAUUGCAGAAUUCAGUGAAUCAUCGAGUCUUUGAACGCACAUUGCGCCCCCUGGUAUUCCGGGGGGCAUGCCUGUCCGAGCGUCAUUGCUGCCCUCAAGCACGGCUUGUGUGUUGGGCCCCGUCCUCCGAUCCCGGGGGACGGGCCCGAAAGGCAGCGGCGGCACCGCGUCCGGUCCUCGAGCGUAUGGGGCUUUGUCACCCGCUCUGUAGGCCCGGCCGGCGCUUGCCGAUCAACCCAAAUUUUUAUCCAGGUUGACCUCGGAUCAGGUAGGGAUACCCGCUGAACUUAAGCAUAUCAAUAAGCGGAGGA
rnacentral:misc_RNA from 1 species